CUACGGGUCGCUCCAGUAGGGAAUAUUGCGCAAUGGGGGAAACCCUGACGCAGCAACGCCGCGUGUGUGAUGAAGGCUCUCGGGUCGUAAAGCACUGUCGUGUGGGAAGAUAAUGACGGUACCAUACAAGAAAGGACCGGCUAACUUCGUGCCAGCAGCCGCGGUAAUACGAGGGGUCCUAGCGUUGUUCGGAAUCAUUGGGCGUAAAGCGGGUGUAGGUGGCCAAGUCAGUCAGAUGUGAAAUCCCUGAGCUCAACUCAGGACGUGCAUUUGAUACUACUUGGCUUGAAUGUCGGAGAGGUUCGUGGAAUUCCUGGUGUAGCGGUGAAAUGCGUAGAUAUCAGGAGGAACAUCGGUGGGGAAGCCGGCGGACUGGCCGAACAUUGACACUGAGACCCGAAAGCGUGGGGAUCAAACAGGAUUAGAUACCCUCGUAGUC
rnacentral:rRNA from 1 species